rnacentral:rRNA from 1 species
UACGAAGGGGGCUAGCGUUGCUCGGAAUCACUGGGCGUAAAGCGCACGUAGGCGGAUUGUUAAGUCAGGGGUGAAAUCCUGGAGCUCAACUCCAGAACUGCCUUUGAUACUGGCGAUCUUGAGUCCGGGAGAGGUGAGUGGAACUCCGAGUGUAGAGGUGAAAUUCGUAGAUAUUCGGAAGAACACCAGUGGCGAAGGCGGACUCACUGGCCCCGGUACUGACGCUGAGGUGCGAAAGCGUGGGGAGCAAACAGGG